rnacentral:rRNA from 1 species
AGAGUUUGAUUCUGGCUCAGGAUGAACGCUAGCGGCAGGCUUAACACAUGCAAGUCGAGGGGCAGCGGGAUGUAGCAAUACAUUGCCGGCGACCGGCGGAUGGGUGCGUAACGCGUAUGCAACCUACCUUAUACAGGGGAAUAACCUUUCGAAAGGGAGACUAACACCCCAUAGUAUUGAUUUAAGGCAUCUUAGAUUAAUUAAUAUUUAUAGGUAUAAGAUGGGCAUGCGUAUGAUUAGCUAGUUGGUAAGGUAACGGCUUACCAAGGCGACGAUCAUUAGGGGUUCUGAGAGGAAGGUCCCCCACACUGGUACUGAGACACGGACCAGACUCCUACGGGAGGCAGCAGUGAGGAAUAUUGGUCAAUGGGCGCAAGCCUGAACCAGCCAUGCCGCGUGCAAGGAAGACGGCCUUAUGGGUUGUAAACUGCUUUUACAUAAGACUAACCGUAUAUUUGCGAAUAUACCUGAAUGUAUUAUGAGAAUAAGGAUCGGCUAACUCCGUGCCAGCAGCGGC